rnacentral:rRNA from 1 species
GGCUAACGCUGGCGGCGUGUCUUAGCCAUGCAAGUCGAGCGGACUUAUGGGGUAACUUAUAAGUCAGCGGCGGACGGCGGAGUAACACGUAGCUAACCUACCCUCUGGACGGGGAUAACCUACCGAAAGGUGGGCUAAUACCCGAUGUAGUCAUCCUGUAUAGGGGUGAUGAAAGGUGGGCUUCUGUUUACAAGCUCAUGCUGGAGGAGGGGGCUGCGGCCUAUCAGGUAGUUGGUAGGGUAUAGCCUACCAAGCCGAUGACGGGUAGCCGGCCUGAGAGGGUGACCGGCCCGAGGGGCACUGAGAUACGGGUCCCACUCCUACGGGAGGCAGCAGGCUAGAAAUUUGGGCAAUGGGGGAAACCCUGACCCAGUGACGCCGCGUGCAGGAAGGAGCCCUUCGGGGUGUAAACUGACUGUCGUGUAGGGAGAAGGGUACUAAGGUGAACAAUCUUAGUACUUGACGGUACUACAGGAGGAAGCCCAGGCUAACCUCGUG